rnacentral:rRNA from 1 species
CUCAGUAACACGUGGAUAACUUGCCCUCAGGUAGGGGAUAAUCUCGGGAAACUGAGGAUAAUACCCUAUAGGCAUCCUUUGCUGGAAUGCUUGGAUGUUCAAAGGCAACGCCUGAGGAUAGGUCUGCGGCCUAUCAGGUUGUAGUGGGUGUAAUGGACCCACUAGCCCGCGACGGGUACGGGCCUUGAAAGAGGUAGCCCGGAGAUGGACUCUGAGACACGAGUCCAGGCCCUACGGGGCGCAGCAGGCGCGAAAACUUCGCAAUGCGGGAAACCGUGACGAGGGAAUCCCGAGUGCUCAUACAAUGUAUGGGCUUUUCUGAUGUGUAAAAAGCAUUAGGAAUAAGGGCUGGGUAAGACCGGUGCCAGCCGCCGCGGUAAUACCGGCAGCUCUAGUGGUAGCCACUUUUAUUGGGCCUAAAGCGUCCGUAGCCGGUCGGGUAAAUCCUUGGGUAAAUCGUACAGCUUAACUGUGCGGCUUCCGGGGAGACUGCCCGACUUGGGACCGGGAGAGGUUGGAGGUACUCCUGGGGUGGGGGUGAAAUCCUGUAAUCCUAGGUGGACCACCGGUGGCGAAGGCGUCCAACCAGAACGGCUCCGACGGUGAGGGACGAAGGCUAGGGGCGCAAACCGGAUUAGAUACCCGGGUAGUCCUAGCUGUAAACGCUGCAGACUUGGUGUUGGAGAUCCCACGAGGGUGUCCAGUGCCGGAGAGAAGUUGUUAAGUUUGCCGCCUGGGAAGUAUGGCCGCAAGGCUGAAACUAAAG